ACGCCAGACUCCUACGGGAGGCAGCAGUGGGGAAUAUUGCGCAAUGGGGGCAACCCUGACGCAGCAACGCCGCGUGAUUGAAGAAGGCCUUCGGGUUGUAAAGAUCUUUAAUCAGGGACGAAAAAUGACGGUACCUGGGGAGGAAGCUCCGGCUAACUACGUGCCAGCAGCCGCGGUAAUACGUAGGGAGCAAGCGUUGUCCGGAAUUACUGGGUGUAAAGGGAGCGUAGGCGGGGAUGCAAGUUGGGUGUCAAAACUACCGGCUCAACCGAUAGUCGCACUCAAAACUGCAACUCUUGAGUGAAGUAGAGGCAGGCGGAAUUCCUAGUGUAGCGGUGAAAUGCGUAGAUAUUAGGAGGAACACCAGUGGCGAAGGCGGCCUGCUGGGCUUUUACUGACGCUGAGGCUCGAAAGUGUGGGGAGCAAACAGGAUUAGAUACCCGUGUA
rnacentral:rRNA from 1 species